UGGGGAAUAUUGGACAAUGGGCGCAAGCCUGAUCCAGCAAUGCCGCGUGUGUGAAGAAGGCCUUCGGGUUGUAAAGCACUUUUAUCAGGAGCGAAAUACUACCGGCCAAUACCCGGUGGGGCUGACGGUACCUGAGGAAUAAGCACCGGCUAACUUCGUGCCAGCAGCCGCGGUAAUACGAAGGGUGCAAGCGUUAAUCGGAAUUACUGGGCGUAAAGCGUGCGUAGGCGGUUUGUUAAGUCUGCUGUGAAAUCCCCGGGCUCAACCUGGGAAUGGCAGUGGAUACUGGCAAGCUAGAGUGUGUCAGAGGAUGGUGGAAUUCCCGGUGUAGCGGUGAAAUGCGUUAGAGAUCGGGAGGAACAUCAGUGGCGAAGGCGGCCAUCUGGGACAACACUGACGCUGAGGCACGAAAAGCGUGGGGAGCAAAACA
rnacentral:rRNA from 1 species